rnacentral:lncRNA from 1 species
AAUCAUAAUCCAAGAUGAAAUUGCAGUUGUAUACUAAAGAUUUCAGAAUGUCUGAUUUAUUCUGUGUACUUCGAAGGACUUAUAAUACAUAUAUAAGUGGGAGCAGAUGAAAAAGAAAUCAUAAUCCAAGAUGAACAUGGCAGAGAUGCAAACUGUCAACAAAAUAUGCAAAACAGAACGUAGUCUUGGAACAACUGGAUUUGUUCCCUCUUGGAUUCAGGCUACAUGUUAUCUUCAGAAUUUGAAUUGAUGGAGUCGACUACAGCGCCACAAUGGGAGUCACAACACGCACCACUUGCUUCAAGCUCGCCAGUAGCCAGGACCAUUAUGCAUCCAUUCCGAGUCUCAUCUCCAGGAGUGCAACAUUCAUGAACAAAAAAUGAAGAAAGAAAAUUUAAUAAUUUGUGUAUGACAUAGAUGGCAUGCAAGCCACACUUUCUCCAGGCUAAUCUUAGUCCUGGUAAGAUAAACAAUCUAUUAAACUUGUCCUAUCAACAUCUCAACAGUGGAGAAACGUCUACUAUUUCAAAAUGGAAAACUGUACAAUAAGGAAAUAUCCAUGAGUAGAUCUUGCGCUAGGAUAGUCAUUGUUUCACAAAGCUAAAAAGAAAAGAGAAAAAUCCACACAAAAAUUUAGGAAGACCAAAGCCACACAACAAGGCCUUCCUAAUGAGAUGAAUAUACCAUCAGGAAAAUAAAUCAUACCAACAAGGCCUCCUAUACAAAUCAGAAACUUCUAUAUGCUCCUCUUAUCUUCAUCUCGCCUUUUCCAAUGAUUGUUUACACCGUGUACAUGCCGAAGACUUCAUUUCUCCAAUACAGAAGACAUCAAGCUCAAAAAGACCAUAAACUGAUGGUCAUAUCAUCUCUUUGGGCAACAACCAGUCCUAGCACUGCAGCUAGAUAACACAAAAGUUGAGCUUGAAAUCAUAGUAAACCAUGCAGCUAACUGCUAUUUACUCACAUAUCACAUAAAAGAAAAAUAAGCUAACUACAUAUUCAUAUUCAGUUAUAAAGUAACAGGAAGCAAACUAAAAAAUUGCUGAAGAAACUAUCAGUUCUAGAAAAUAAUUUUGCUGCCCUCGAAAAAUAGAGAUUUGUCAAUAAUCGGAAACCGUCGUAAUAUGACUUCCUAUUGUGUCCUAAACUUUCAAAUUGCUUAGAAGCCAUAUACAGUAUGUUAUAAUUUCCAAUAGCAUGCCACGCCUCUCAUGUACACAGCCUUCUAUAGAUAAUGUAAAAUUGACCGUUCUGCAAGCAGAUGCAAUCACAACCGUAGAUGUAAACAAAUUUCUUAAUAUUCGGUAUGAAACUUUUUGAUCAAACAUAAAAACAAUCAAAAGGACAAAUAUGUAAGAAGCAAGAAACAUGACAACACUGGAGUAGCUGAUAAUCCUAUCAAUAACCCCUACACCAGCUGCAUUAAGAUAUACUCUGGAGUAUUGUGUUAUUUGUUGUUGCCUGCAAAUGUUGGACUUGGUGGAACAUACAUACUCCCUCCGUCCGAAAAUACUUGUCAUCAAAAUGGAGAAAAGGAGAUGUAUCUAGAACUAAAAUACAUCUAGAUACAUCCUCUUUUAUCCAUUUUGAUGACAAGUAUUUUCGGACGGAGGGAGUACCUCGCACCUUUUAUUUGCUUAAACCCAUUUUAUUCUCGUGUUCAACAAUUGCAGGCUUGCAGAAUAGCUGAAGCAUCAUAAUCUACAGAGCUAAAGUAUUGUGAAGAAACAAACAUCUGAAUAAAUGUGUUCAGGCAAAAUAUGUGUGGAUCCGGAAGGUAGCACGAUUCUCAAUUCAUUCUUCAGAACCUACAUUUGAAUUCAUUAAAGCUUAAUUUACCACGGUGUCAUGAUCUAAAACAUAAGAACACAUAGGUUUUUCAAUACAGUUUUGAGUGUCAUCCUAUGUAGGCUAACUUGUGCAAACUGGAAGAUACUUUAACAUAUUUCAGAGGCCUUAUUUGGUACAGAAGUAACAUUCAACAUGACAGUAAAUCUUGAGAUUAUUGGUAUUACCUGAGAGUAAGCUCAUGAAGCAGUAACUGUCAGUUUGUCACCUUAGCAAUUCAAUAAUAGUAACUAUCACUACUAUUAACAACAAAGAGUAUAUACUCAGCCUUUGAAGAAGCAUGGACCGACCUUCUCAACUAAUUCUUCUUGUAGGACGGUUGAAAUUCCUGGAGCUAGAAAAUUGCAGACGGCGUUUGAUGACAGCACUGUAUUUGGGCUGAAUAUAUGCUACUAUGGUCACC